UACGGGGGGAGCAAGCGUUGUUCGGAUUUACUGGGCGUAAAGGGCGCGUAGGCGGCCAGCACAAGUCAGUUGUGAAAUCUCCGAGCUUAACUCGGAAAGGUCAACUGAUACUGUGCGGCUAGAGUGCAGAAGGGGCAACUGGAAUUCUUGGUGUAGCGGUGAAAUGCGUAGAUAUCAAGAGGAACACCGUGCGGCGAAGGCGGGUUGCCUGGGCUGACACGAUGACGCUGGAGGCGCGAAAGCCUAGGGGAGCGAACGGG
rnacentral:rRNA from 1 species